UACAGAGGUCCCCAAGCGUUGUUCGGAUUCACUGGGCGUAAAGGGUGCGUAGGUGGCAGGGUAAGUUUGAUGUGAAAUCUCCGAGCUUAACUCGGAAACUGCAUUGAAUACUAUUCUGCUCGAGGUUUGGAAGGGGGACUGGAAUUCUCGGUGUAGCAGUGAAAUGCGUAGAUAUCGAGAGGAACACCAGUGGCGAAGGCGAGUCCCUGGACAACACCUGACACUGAGGCACGAAAGCUAGGGGAGCAAACAGG
rnacentral:rRNA from 1 species